CCCACUCCCUUUGGCGCUUUUGCCGACGGGGUCAUGGAGGCGGAGGAGCGAUCCUCCCCUCCCAACGUGGCACGCUUGCGAACCGAUACCGAUCACGACGUAGUAAAACACCUUCGUUGACUGUGACGUUGAGGCCGCCUGAAUCAAACUCUGUA
rnacentral:misc_RNA from 1 species